rnacentral:lncRNA from 1 species
UGUGAGAGCCCCAUAGAGGAGGGGGUGGGAAUGCGGGCCCUGGGUUCUCCUUUCUCACGGAUUCCUUCAUUUCCUCUUUUCUUGAUAUCUAUACAGAUAUAAUUAAAUGAUUACUUGUGAUAUCAUCGUGCUCACGUUUCUCAUCCCCAUUAAGACUCUGAGCUUUGGCGCACACCUGUAAUCCCGGUGGCUCAGGAGACUGAGGCAGGAGGACUGCAAGUUCAAAGCCAGCCUCAGCAGCUUCGUGAGGUUCUAAGCAACUCAGCGAGACCCUGUGCCUAAAUAAAAUACAAAAAAGGGCCGGGGACCUGGCUCAGGGGUUAAGCGCCCCUGGGUUGGUUGGUUUGUUUUACUGAAAACAAAACAUGAGCUUCGGAAGGGCAGACAGUGCCUUGCUCUUGGAUGCACCUAGCACCCACUGCCACACGGGCAGCACUAGAUGUGCAUCUCACAAUUUAAUACACGGAUGGAUC